UCGCCUGUUUUUCAAAAACAUCUCUGUUAGUAUUAAUUAACAGUAAGAUCUGCUCAAUGAAGAUUAAAUAGCCGCAUUUCGUGCUAAGGUAGUAUAAUAAUUUGUCUUUUAAUUAAAGUCUAUAACAAAAGAUUUAACAUUUUAAUUAUUUUAAAAAUAUUAAAUAUUUAAAUUAUUUUAAUUAUUAAAAAAUAAUUUUUUAAAAAAAAGACGACAAGACCCUAUUGAACUUAACUUUAGUUAAACUGGGGCAGUUGAUUAAAUAUAAUCUUAAUAUUAAUUAAUAUUAAUAUGACCUAAUAUAAUUAAUUAUAAAAUCAAGUUACCAUAGGGAUAACAGCGUAAUAAUUUUUUAAAGUUCAUAUUUUUAAAAUAGACUGCGACCUCGAUGUUGAAUUAAUUUUCCAAUUUACGCAAUAGUUAUUAUGGAUAAGUCUGUUCGACUUUUAAACAAUUACAUGAUC
rnacentral:rRNA from 1 species